CGGAGCUUCUUCAGAUCCUCCUAUUGGAGAUGAUCUAAAAGACAGGGGUCCCUGGCUGCAGACAGCAACCUCCUAGGUAUGGUACACAGCCCAAUGCUUGCACGGGCUGCCCUAUGGGACCUGGGAGACCCGG
rnacentral:snoRNA from 1 species